rnacentral:rRNA from 1 species
UACGGAGGGAGCUAGCGUUAUUCGGAAUUACUGGGCGUAAAGCGCACGUAGGCGGCUUUGUAAGUUAGAGGUGAAAGCCUGGAGCUCAACUCCAGAAUUGCCUUUAAGACUGCAUCGCUUGAAUCCAGGAGAGGUGAGUGGAAUUCCGAGUGUAGAGGUGAAAUUCGUAGAUAUUCGGAAGAACACCAGUGGCGAAGGCGGCUCACUGGACUGGUAUUGACGCUGAGGUGACGAAGCGGUGGGAGCAAACAGG